ensembl:lncRNA
CUCAUCUCUGCCACUUUCCACUUAAUAUUUCCAGACUGCAGUUGGCUUCGGGUAACUUAAAGUGCAGAAAGCGACAUCACAGAAAGCCGGCUGCCCGAGCUGCUCCCAGCUGGGCGUCCGGGCACGAAGCUCCCUGUUUGUGAUGGCCCCUCCCUCCGCUCCUGCUCCGCACCUGGAUUAUGGUACUCGGCUUGCUCAUCAAAAUAAAUUCUUUCUCCUGUCACUUCAACCCCCAAAGCUCCGAGGCAGGUGCAGGACCCAGGAGGGCAGUCACAGCCCUGAGCCGGCUACCACCUGGCCCUAGACCCAUCAGACAUGGAGGAGUGGCCCACACGGGGGAGGGCCAGGCCUGUCCCUGCUCUCCUGGAGGAUGAAUGGGCUGCUCUGCCUGGAGCUUCCCCUGCCACUUUCUCUGACCCCAGCAGACCAAGCCUGCACACAGGAAGGCAGCACUGCUGGGCGGGCGAGGCAGUGCUUGCUGUAUCUGAGCACCUGGAUCCAGCCAUUCCUGAGGCCUGAUUCCCCCCCCCCAAUAAAUUCCAUUUUCUCCCUAA